GGGAGCGGAUGAGUUCUGGUGGACUCCUAGGACUUCAAAUCCUUUUGUCGGGCGCUGAUAACGUCCGGGGUGGGUUCGAUUCCCACACGUUCCC
rnacentral:tRNA from 1 species